rnacentral:lncRNA from 1 species
CACUUUUUUUUUUUUUUUAAAGUACGUUUUCUGCCCCAAGUGGUGCCCAAACUCCUGACCCUAAGACCAAGAGCUGUGUGCUCUUGCCAAAAGAGCCAGCCAGACACUCCAUUUCCCAUUCCUUUUUGCUAGUAGAACUACCCUUUAAUGCCCAUCUUAAGGCCCAACCUCCUAUUAACAGUAUCUGUACCACUAAAAAAAUGCUGUAUACUCUAAAAAAUCUCUAUUACGAGGAAUGUUGAACUAGAUAACUAAAGGUCAACUUUUUGAUUUGGUUCUACCUCUUGUAAUAGAAUUCUUUAUAAAAAUAUUAAUUUUAUUAGAUAAUACUGAGCAUAUUAAAAAUAAAUUUUCCUUGAUAAGUUUGGGUCAUCUUCCUGGUCAAUAAUUCUAUUAUACUUACUAGAUGUCUGAAUUAUGACUAUUAAAAUAUAACUUAAUGAGAGUUUAUUUUUUAAAGGUUCAAGUUAUAUUUGUGCCAUAUUUGUUUAUGACAAAAGCAAAUUGUGGAAGCAACUCCGUAACUUGCCAGUUUUCCUUCUUAAUCAUAUUCAUUGUCCUUUGAUUUUUUUCCUUUAUAUUCAUUUUGUUUAUUUUCUAGCAUUUAAAAAAUUGAGGUACAAAUGGCAUACAUUGUCAGUUUCAGAUGUACAAGACUUUUAAAAGUGUAUUUUUGACUAAAAAAUUUCUCAGAAGUUUUGAAAAAUACAGAAAAUAGUAAAAGUCUCAAAUGUCCAAAGUUCUUUUACUUCCAUUUUUAUUUUAUACUGAAGUUUAUUUAAUGAAAUGAAAAUCUUCAUAAAUGAAAAAAAACCCAGCAAGUUAGUUCCAUAAACCUCUCCUCUAAGAAGAAAAUGAGGGGCACUAGCAUAGAGUGAAAUGGUUUUUUGAUACCAAGUAAAAACAAAUUAAAAAAAUCCUAUUAAGCAAAAAAGGACAUUGGUGACCUUGGCAAUAAUACUUUUAGUGGAGUGUUUUGGACUAAAGCUAAAGAAAUAGGACUGUGGAGUUUGGAUAGUUGUUAUUUUUUAAGGGAAAUGAAAUCAGCAAGUUUCUAGGAAGGAAAUGUGGGCUUGAAGAUGACUUUCUUAAUGAUGAGAACGAAAAUAGAGGUCUAGGGAUAGAGUUCAGAAAUACUUUGAGAAGAGGGAAGACGUGGGUUCCAAACCCAUGUUAGACUGACAUUAUCUACAAGGAGGGGUACCUCUGUAAUUAAUGAAUGAGAAUGAGAAGAUGUGGGUGUGUUUAGCAAUGAGUUUGGAGCUUUGGUGGAAAGAAAUUUCAGAGUUCAAGUUCCAAAUAUCAGAAAUUCUUCAACUACAGGGGUGCCUGGGUGGAUCAGUUGGUUAGGCAUCUGACUUUUGAUUUUGGCUCAAGUCAUGAUCUCACCGUCAUGAGAUUUUUUUUUUUUUUUAAGAUUUUAUUUAUUUAUUCAUGAGAGACACAGAGAGAAAGACAGGCAAGGGCAGAGGCACAGGCAGAGGGAGAAGCAGGCUCCAUGCAGGGAGCCUGACAUGGGACUCCAUCCCGGGACUCCAGGAUCAUGCCCUGGGCUGAAGGCAGUGCUAAACUGCUGAGCCACCCAGGCUGCCCACCGUCAUGAGAUUGAGCCCCUGUCAGGCUCCAUGCUCAUUGAGGUGUCUGCUUGAGGUUCUCUCCUCCUCUUUCUGCUCCUCCUUCAACACAUACACAUUCUUCCUCUCAAAUAAAUAAAUCUUAAAAAAAAAUUAUUGGUGGUAUCUGGGUGUCUCAGUCGGUUAAGCAUCUGUCUUCAACUCAGAUCAUGAUCCCAGGGUCCAGGAAUUGAGCCCCACAUUGUGCUCCCUGCUCAACAGGGAACCUUCUUCUCCCUCUCCUGCUACCCCUGCUUGUGCUCUCUCUGUCAAAUAAAUAAAUAAAAUCUUAAAAAAAAAACAAAAAA